rnacentral:rRNA from 1 species
AGCCGGUGGGUUAACCGCAAGGAGAUAGCCGUCUAAGGUGGGGGCGAUGAUUGGGGUGAAGUCGUAACAAGGUAGCCGUAUCGGAAGGUGCGGCUGGAUCACCUCCUUUCUAAGGAGA